rnacentral:lncRNA from 1 species
UUCCACAUUCUUUGUUUCACAUUAAGUCCUCAAAAACUGGUGGCUGUUUAACAGUUACAGCACAUCUCAAUUAAGACCCAUCCCCUUUCAACUGUCCAGUGUCCAGACAUGGUUCGUGGCUGUGGUACCCAACAGUGCAGGUGGGACAAAUGUGGUCUGACCACGAGAGUAUGGGGGGCUGGGUUAUGCAGGGAUGAUACAGUGAGACACAACAGCUUCCCUGAGGGGCUCGCACUCUCAGAGGGAGGAGACAGGUAAAGAGAUCAUGUGACCAUAAAGGGUAAACACUGAAAUGGAUCUGCCAUGGGAACCCAGGGAGGGCACGUGGCUUAGGCUGGGCGUCAGGAAGACUUGCAGAGAGAGAGAAUGCGCUGAGCCUGAAACACACGUAAGAGUUUGUACAGGUAGCCAGGCACAGUGGCUCAGGCCCGUAAUCCCAGCACUUUGGGAGGCCAAGGCGGGGGAAUCACCUGAGGUCAGGAGUUCGAGACCAGCCUGGCCAACAUGGUGAAACCCCAUAUCUACUAAAAAUACAAAAAAUUAGCUGGGCAUGGUGGCGGGUGCCUGUAAUCCCAGCUACUUGGCAGGCUGACGCAGGAGAAUCGCUUGAACCUGGGAGGCGGAGGUCUGCAGGCAGAGUGUUGAGUCACAUGGUAACUAUAUAUUUAACUUUCAGAAACUAAUGAUUUUCCACAGCAGCUGCACUACUUUACAUUCCCACUAGCAAAGCACAAAGGUUCCAAUUUCUCUACAUCCUUGCCAACACUUGUUUUUUUAAAUUUUUUUAUUUUUUGAGAUGGAGUUUCACUCUUGCUGUCCAGGCUGGAGUGCAAUGGCACAGUCUUGGCUCACUGCAACCUCCAGUGCCCGGGUUCAAGCGAGUCUCCUGCUUCAGCCUCCCUAGUAGCUGGGAUUACAGGCACCCCCCAUCCCACCAUGCCCAGCUAAUUUUUUGUAUUUUUAGUAGAGAUGGGGUUUCCCUAUAUUGGCCAGCUGGUCAGGAGUUCAAGACCAGCCUGGCCAACAUGGUGAAACCCCAUCUCUUCUAAAAAUACAAAAAAAAAAAAAAAUUAGCCAGGCGUGGUGGUGUACGCCUGUAGUCCUAGCUACUCAGGAGGCUGAGGCAGGAGAGUCACUUGAACCCAGGAGGUGGAGGUGGUAGUGAGCCGAGAUUGCACCACUGUACUCCAUCCUGGGCAACAGAGCGAGACUUCGUCUCAAAAUAAAUAAAUAAAGUGUUAUACUUCAGUGGUUUCUGGUAUAUUCUCAGAGUUGUUCAAACAUCACCACUAUCUAAUUUCAAAACAUCUUAUUGCCCCAAAAAAGAAACCCUGUACCCAUUAGCAGUCAUUCCCCAAUCCCUCCUCUGCCCAGCCCUGGCAACCACUGUCUACUUUCUGUUCUGUGGAUUUGGAGUAGAAUCAUAUAGUAUGUGGCCUCUUGUGACUGGCUUCCUUCUCUUGGCAUGAUGUUUAAAGGUUCAUCUACAUUGUAGUGUGUGUCAGGAUUUCAUUUCUUUUUGUGGCUGAAUCAUAUUCCAUGGUAUGCAUGCACCACAUUUUGUCUACGGAUAUUUGAGUUGUUUCCACAUUUUGGCUAUUAUUAAUGCUGCUAUACACAUUUGGCAGAGUGCAGUAGCUCACACCUAUAAUCCUAGCACUUUGGGAGGCUGAGGCAAACGGAUCAAUUGAGGCAGGAGUUUGAGACCAGCUUGGCCAACAUGGCAAAACCCCGUCUCUACUAAAAAUAUAUAGCCAGGCAUGGUGGUGCAUGUCUGUAAUCCCAGCUGUUCAGGAGGCUAAGGCACAAGAAUCGCUUGAAUCCGAGAGGCAGAGCUUGCAGUGAGCCAAGAUCGCACCACUGCACUGACAGUGUUUCAUCAUGUUGGCCAAGCUGGUUUCAAACUCCUGAUCUCAAGUGAGCUGCCCACCUUGUUCUCUCAAAGUGCUGAGAUUACAGGCAUGAGCCCCUGCACCCAGCCUGCAUAACUUUUUUUAAAAGGCAUUGUUGCCUUGUUCCCUUGAAUCACUUUCUCUGGGAAACUAGCUAUCAUGUCAUGAGGACACUCAAGCAGCUCUGGGAGAGACCCCCUGUGGCUAGAAGCUGUGGAUUCUCACCAACAGCCAUGCAAGAUUCCCCAGCCCCAGUCGAGCCUUCAGAUGACCACAGCCCCAGCUGAUAUCUUGACUGCAAUAUCAUGAAAAACCAUGUGUCAGAACUGCUCAGACAUGUUGCUCCCAAAUUCUGGACCUGCAGAAACCAUGAAAGACAAUAAAUGAUUAUUGCUGUUUUAGGUCACUAUGUUUUGAGCUAACUUCUUACACAGCAAUAGAUACUAAUGCAUAUUUUAACCAGUUUCCUACAUUAAAAC